AGUGAACGCUGGCGGUAGGCCUAACACAUGCAAGUCGAACGGCAGCACAGUAAGAGCUUGCUCUUACGGGUGGCGAGUGGCGGACGGGUGAGGAAUACAUCGGAAUCUACUUUUUCGUGGGGGAUAACGUAGGGAAACUUACGCUAAUACCGCAUACGACCUACGGGUGGAAGCAGGGGAUCUUCGGACCUUGCGCGAUUGAAUGAGCCGAUGUCGGAUUAGCUAGUUGGCGGGGUAAAGGCCCACCAAGGCGACGAUCCGUAGCUGGUCUGAGAGGAUGAUCAGCCACACUGGAACUGAGACACGGUCCAGACUCCUACGGGAGGCAGCAGUGGGGAAUAUUGGGCAAUGGGCGCAAGCCUGAUCCAGCCAUACCGCGUGGGUGAAGAAGGCCUUCGGGUUGUAAAGCCCUUUUGUUGGGAAAGAAAAGCAGCAGGUUAAUACCCCGCUGUUCUGACGGUACCCAAAGAAUAAGCACCGGCUAACUUCGUG
rnacentral:rRNA from 1 species